GGAGCUAUUGGCUUUGAAUUGUAUUGUGGAAAUGUAUUACCAACAGAGGUGCAGGUGCCAGCCUAUUGAAAUAAAGCGUCAAUGAGGGUGAGAAUCCUGUUUGUCAUGUGCAGCCCUUUGUGCACGGUGUAUAUUUGCUGAGUCACACUCCUUGGCAUUGGAAUGCAAAGUGGGUGGUAAGUUUCAUGUAAAGGUAAACAUGCAAUUGAGACUGAUAGCACACAAGUACCAUGAGGGAAAUAUGAAAAGGACUUUGAAAAGAGAAUUAAAUGAGUUUGUAUUUGCUGAACACAAAGUAAACAGACUUGAUUUGCUUGGUGGGAGUGUUGCACUUGCUUGACAAGAGCUUUGGGCUGUGGGUGUAAUGAUUCUUUCUUUGCAUGCCAGUUUCUAUUUGUACAUCUGAUUACCUUUGCACAUGAAUGAUAAGUCUCCUGUGGGGGGUGGAUUGCAUGUGCAUGUAAUGAUUUGUGUUUUGAUAAAUGUGUCUGGUGUAUGUGUGUGUUCCUGUGCUUGGGGAUGCUUCCUUCCUUGGACUUACAAGCCCUGACACACACAUGCUGGCAAAAUGCUUCUGCUUGACCCGUCUUGAAACACGGACCAAGGAGUCUAACAGAUGUGCAAAGUUUGAAGGUGGUAUACCUUUGUGUGCAAUGAAAGUGUCAGCUGGGAUAUGUGCACCAGCACCCAAUUAAUUAGCGGACAGAGGUUUGAGUUGGAGCAUAUCUAUUAGGACCCGAAAGAUGGUGAACUAUGCCUGAACAGAAUGAAUUCAGAGGAAACUCUGAUGGAGGUUCGUAUCGAUACUGACGUGCAAAUCGUUCGUCAUAUUUGGGUAUAGGGGCGAAAGACUAAUCGAACCAUCUAGUAGCUGGUUCCCUCCGAAGUUUCCCUCAGGAUAGCUGGAGUUGCUCAGUUUUAUCAGGUAAAGCGAAUGAUUAGAGGAAUUGGGGACAGGUUUGUCUUUGACCUAUUCUCAAACUUUAAAUGGGUAAUAUGUAGUGGUUGCUGUAUGGAACUU
rnacentral:rRNA from 1 species